GCUGUAGAAUGUAACUGUCUGCAUUCAAUUAUUUAUUACAUCAUGAAGAAUAAGAAAGACCAGUGCAGAUCUUGGUGACAGUAGCUCUCAGUUCCUCUUUUGAAAAAUGAGGGCCUUGAGAUAGUUGAUUGGUAAAUCUUUGCUCUGCUUGGUUAUACUGAAUCAAUCCUAAGCUUCAUUCCGGUUCUAAAAUGAUUCUGAACAUUUUUUAAAACAAUAUUUUGAGCCAAUAUGCAAUCCAGGAGAUAACUGUAGUUUUUUCUUUAUGAAAUUAUUUCAUAGGUUACCUUUAAGAAUUGUCUCCUUUCCCCUUCACCACCGAGAGAGUAGCUAUAAAGAUCACAGUGUCAUGUGGCAUCAGAGCAUCUGGGUGAGGUGGCUGUGGCUGUGGCUGAUGGCCCACAUGUGCCUCAGGUAACACAGGGGAUGCUCCCUUCGGUGUGAUGGGAUUACCUGCACUAAAGAAGAGCUGCACUGUUCCAGGAAGCAGAUAUACUCACUGUUUCUAUAAAGAAAUGCAAAUACAUGCUAGUCACAGAGAGAGAGAGAGGCAGAGACACAGGCAGAGGGAGAAGCAGGCUCCAUGCACCGGGAGCCCAAUGUGGGAUUCGAUCCCGGGUCUCCAGGAUCGCGCCCUGGGCCAAAGGCAGGCGCCAAACCGCUGCGCCACCCAGGGAUCCCUGAAAGGGACUCUUUUAUAACAAUUGUUCUUUCAGUAUCCUUUAUUGAAAAAAUAUAUAGUUUUAGUUUACUCUAAAACUUGUGACUUUUUAAAUGAGUCUGUAUUUUAGUAAUCAAAAGAGAUGCAUGUUAUUUAAAAUACAGUAUCAAAUGUGUAUAAUAACAUAAUUUAAUCUUCAGACAGUGCCUGAUGCAAAUAUAGAUUCUCAGUCCCUUAUAACAACAUAAUUACUCAUUCGGUGAGAUUUCAUAAUAACACAGCUACCAGUGAAUAUCAGCUCACAGGUUGGAACCCCCUGCUUCUGAUGAGAUACUUGCUUUCUUCAGACACUACUACCAAAAAUCUGUGACCUUACCUCAUAAUUUAAUAAUUUUUUUUUUAAAGUCAAGUGGUUUUUUUUUUUUUAAUUUUUAUUUAUUUAUGAU